rnacentral:lncRNA from 12 species
AUGCCACCGUGGAAAGAUUCUGACCGUUGGAUGCAAAGACGGGCUCUGAACAGCCACAGCGCGGGCGGAAGGAAGGCCACUGGCCCCGCGAGUGGCCCAAAGGCGGCUUUGCACGAGGUCCCUGGACAGCAGAUGCUGAGGUUCCAUCCAGAUGCAGCAGCCGUGUUGGCGGCGCACGCUCGCCGCUGUGCCCGGGACGGAGACAGAGCCAGAAAGCGCCAGGAGUGUGCGAGAGCCCCCGCCCCACACCCAGCGGUUUGAACGUGUUUUCCUCUAGCACCGGGCCUUACAAGGCUACCCAAGGGGGAGCAGGUGAGGGGCUGAGACCCGCGUCUGGACCCCCCUAGGUUGCCAGGGGUAACAGCCCCCCAGGCACGUUGGUGGGGCCCUUGCAUCUCCGGGCGGGCGCGCGGGGCGGUUUGGAACAGAAACUCGGAACUUGCAGCCGCAGAGGAAGCCGCUGUGGAGUUGGUUGGUCACGGAGAUUCCCAAGCUCCAGGUCGUGGCCAAAGAACCAGGAUCUUUAGUCCGUGCCCCCACUACGUGAUUCCAGUAAAGAUGUUCCCAGGCCACAUGUUGGGAAGCAAGUGGUGGGGCCUCUUGGGCGGCCCUUUACGAGGCCAGAGGCAGGGGCCCUGGGUUUGGGUCCAGCCACCAGGCUGGUGGCCUCCUGUAGUUGGCUCCCAAGCUCCGGGCCCCACCUAGGCUCAUUCCUGGAUAGCCAGCUCAGGUGCCGGUGCCUUCUUUACCGCCCACUCCUUUCCCGGUAACAGGGAGUGGCUUGUGGGCCAUUCUGGACAACAGGUGUCCACAAGCCCUCUCGAAACAGGUGCCUGGAAGCCCAUGUAAGGAGUCUAAGUUCUGGGCUUGCUUUUGCAACUUGGGAGGCGCGGACUGCUCGGGGUCACACGAGUCCAGAAUUGCCCAUUGACCGCUUUGCUUAUUGUUCCUCGCGUGUUAGGCCUCCCGGGGAAACUACGACUUUUUGGGAGGAGGUCACCAUAUUAUUUUUUCCUCUGACUUACCCCCCACCAUCGACUACGUAACUGGUGUUCAAUAUGGAAUGGGACUUCCCAAUGUACAGUCGGGCUGCUUCCAAAGGUCCAUUCUGAAGGCACUCAUUUGGAUCUUGUUUCUCAUUAGGACAAUGUCAUAAAAGGUAAUUAUGUUCCCAGGGCAGCUCCUAAAUACCUAUUUAACCAGCAGUGUAGCUGAACGCUAGUUCUAAUAGUAUCUAAAAUCACGUAUAAUACUGCUUUUU